UUUGCUCAUAACCCAAAGUAACUGUAGACAUUUCAGUUUUAACCUGAUGGUGGCUCCAGUGGAAAAGUCGGUGAAUGACGGCACAUGUGAGUUUGCUGGCUGGGAUUGCAAUAACCGUGAGUUAGAUCAGUAUAGAUAUAAAAAAAUGUCUUCAGAUUGGCUUUAAACCGUUUAGUGUAUAUUUUUUCCACCUUAACCAAGUAGAAAUUUUCUGAUCCAAGAAUAGCUUGGGUAUCUGAAACAGGGGAUUUCCACCUGACAAGACUCUGGUUAAAAACAUGAUGUAUAGAAGAUAAUUUUAGGUUUAUGCUGAGGCUGAGGUGUCCAAAUUGUUUCAAAUUGAACAGUCUGAGAAGAGAAAAUCACUCAUUCAUAAUCAUUUGAACUGCUCACAUCUCCGAGAUAUGUAGAGAUAUGUAGACAUUGCUUCAACUUAAAGGGAUCACCGGCAAUCACGAACCAGAAGGAGGGAAGAAAUGUUGGCCUUGUUGGCUGUCUGUCGUGCUGACAUAUUAGUUAGCAGUACAGAGAACAUAUAAUAAAAAAGGGAUAUUAGAAAAUAAAUAUGUCAUAGGUAUAAGUGGGUGCUGAAAAUACGACCCCUUUUGACCCCUUCUGGUGGCAAUAAUACAACAGGUCCAAACAAACUGUACAAGUGUCAGCUUUGCCAGCAAACACACAAAGAAACUGAAUUCAGACCUACCGGUGCUAUUCUGCCACUUGUUCACCUGCACAAUUAUCUUUGCUUUCCGAUGCUAUAGCUAAAUACUCCGCCCUGAAGGAAAGAGAGUAAGGAAAGGAGAGAAGGGGGAAAAGAAACUGUCAAGGUCAGUGAAUCGGAAUCAGAACAAGAGAUCAGUUCAGCAAGGGAAAAAGGAAAAUGUUAUAUUAUAUUAUAUAUUUGAGAAGAGCAGAUUGAAACAGAUUGUGAAAGUGGUUGGUGGGACAUCAGGACAUUUGGACAGCCCAGCGGGAUCUGGAAAUGAAGGACUGGCACCGGGGUGAGGCUGGCGCUCUGUGUGUUUGUGUAUUUUAAGUGUUACUCACGCGCUCUCUCUCAGAGCUUCCUCUCCUGCUGCUGCGAUCUUCCUGUAGCAGUAAAUCAUCUCAACCACCAGCCAGAGCUGCAGCCCGAUGAUGGACACGUACAUCAUCACCUCAGACAAGAUGGACGCCAGUCCCCUGGUGACUAGAGAGACAGAGGUGGGGGGGUGAGGUAAGAUAUAUUGUAUCUACGGGCUUAAGGAAAGGGGACUGAUUUAAUUUGUGCCAUGAGGGAUGUGGUCUGCCCAGGCCAUACAUUUUUCAAACGAUAUGAGUCAUAAUUCCUGACCUCCUGUCCUGAAUUACGCUGCAUCGUAAUUCAACAUUUCUUGAAUCUUGCUGCAGAUACAUUUAACCUGUCUGACACCCAUAUGUUACUGCUUGCCAUAGCCUGGCUAAAAGAAAACAUUCACUGCUCAAUCUACCUGUAAUGAAAAUUCAGGAGCUCGUGCACUGAACCAUGGAAGAUACCGCUGAGCUUGUUCAAGCAUUUGGCACUUUAAGCACCUUGUGGACCAUUUUGGGCCAGCAAAUCAAGUUGUAAACACAUUGCAGGCUGUUAUCAGUUUUAAGUCACUCUCCUCUUAGCUCUGUUUUUGGUCUCCACCAACUCCUGAGGGAAACAUGUACCCCUUUAUGAGUUAAAUGCUCCACUAUGUUCAACAGCUAGUCGCUAACUUUGUCUGUCUCUUGUUUAUUUGCAGGGCAGGUGGUGGAAAAAAGAUCUUCAGAGCCUGCUGUUAAGGAAAAUACUAAAGAAAGUGGCAGCUGUGAUCGUAGAGUUGACUGAGGUCUUCGGAAACUGUUCAACACCUUCGCAUGACUCACUGCCUGGAUCUCCGGCGUCAAGCCUCUCGGUUCGAGCCAGGUGUUAACGAACUUGGCCUCUGUGCAUCAGCAGGGCGGUUACGAGGAUCAGCAGGAUUACGAUGGGCACCAGGAGGAGACCCCCAUACAGGGGCCACGGCUCCGGAAACACCUCCUCAUCUGGCUCUGAGAAACACAAACACACCAGACAGGAAGUGCAAUCCUAAAAUUAAAUCACAUAUUGAUACGGCGCUGGAUUUAUUGUAAUCCUUUCUCCUGUAAAAACAACUUAAAGGAGAAGUUCACCCAAAUUACACAGAGAAGAGGAGACAUUAAAAAGGAAGAUGAGAAAUCGCACAACCCUCCCCAGAAGCAAAAUUAACCUAGACAAGCAACUGAGAGUGAACGUUUCCUACUUUUUAAGAGAGACUCACCAGGGGUAGUUGAAACGUUUUUUUCAGUACUUCCACCUACUCCAGCUGAUAAAGAAGAAAGCAUUCAGACAUGUUGUCUUGUUGACAUAGUGCAUGAUUUCUCGGCAAUGAAGCAUUUUAAAACUGCCUGCAGCUUCAAAAAUAAAAUUCACUGAUCUUUCCAUGCUUAAAACUCGUCUAGUUUCAACUUUAGGGCAAUAAAAUGGGACCACAAGCUUUUCUUCAGAUGUGGGUUCACACAUAUCCAGACAGGACAUGUUUAAACAUUUGCAAUGACAGGGCAAAGACAUUGUUUCCAGUCUCACUAUUUUGUCAGUUUUUGUGUUUUUAUGUGAUCUACGCUACAGCUAAAGAGUUUUAUAUAGUUGAGAUUAUUACCAUUUGGACCGUAGUGGAAGUUGCUCUUCGUCACCAGCUCUUC